AAUUGCAAGCAUUACUUGCUCUGCGAUUGAGACUGCGUCGGAUCCAGCCAGAUGCCGGGGUACCGGCCCACCAAUACCUUUGACCCGUAUUGGAAUAUGAGAGUUAAGAGCCCAGAGAAGGGCAUUGAGCCAAUGGCCCUAGCGCUACGGCGUGCAGCAGGCGCGCAAACUCCACAAUGCACAUACGUGUGAUGGGGGGAAUUUUGAGUGGUUCACUUUCGGUGACCCUUUUGCCAAGUUUAGCAAGCUUGAAGAAUAAGUGCUGGGUAAGACCGGUGGCAGCCGCCACGGUAAUACCGGCGGCACAAGUGGUAUUCACAAUUAUUGGGCUUAAAGCGUUAGUAGCCGGCUGAAACAGUCUUGUGUGAAAUGUUGGUGCAUGACAUCAACACGUGCAUAAGAUACCUUUCGGCUAGGGAGUGGGAGAGGUUUGGAGUAUUCAUGGGGUAAGGGUAAAAUCUCGUAAUCCUAUGAAGACUACCGGUGGCGAAGGCGCCAAACCAGAACACAUCCGACGGUGAGUGACGAAGGCCAGGAGAACGAAUCGGAUUAGAUACCCGAGUAGCCCUGGCAGUAAAUGAUGCAGACUCUGGUGUUGCGUUUAUCACGAAUAAAUGCAGUACCGUAGGACAACUGUUAAGUCUGCCGCCUGGGGAGUACGGCCGCAAGGUUGAAACUUAAAGGAAUUGGCGGGGGAGCACAAGGGCGAAUUCCAGCACACUGGCGGCCGUUACUAGUGGAUCCGAGCUCGGUACCAAGCC
rnacentral:rRNA from 1 species